AAUAAAUAUAUGGGGCUGGGACCCCCCCCCCAGGACCCCCCCGGGGUGGGAGCCCCCCCCCGUUGCACGCCCAGGGGGUGGGAGCCCCCCUUUGUGCCACCCCCCCAUUGCACACCCCCAUAGAUGCCCCCCCCUUACACCCCCAUAACCGUGCCCCCCCCUAUAUCCCAAUCCCCCCCCCCCCCCCCCCCCCCCCCCCCCCCCCCCCCCCCCCCCCCCCCCCCCCCCCCCCCCCCCCCCAUAUCCCCCCCCCGUCCCCCCCCCCCCCCCCCCCCCCCGGUGCGUUGCACACGCGCGUGCAAGGCGUGCUCAGUUGCAGGAUUACCGCAGCUUCGCGCGCACGGGGGGCCCGGGGGGCAGCGCGGCGCUGCAGCGCGUGGUGGGGCAGUUCAAUGGGGUCUCGCGCUGGGCCCAGCUCCUGGUGCUCAGCCCCACGGCGGCCCCACAGCGGGCGCGGGUCCUGGCCCGAUUCCUGCACGUGGCGCAGGUGUCCCUGGAGCUGCCCCAGACGGAGGAGGAGCUGUACGGCCUGUCCCUGCAGCGAGAGCCGCGCACGGUGCGGGGGGCAAAGGGGCGUGCAAGGGGCGUGCAAGGGGCGUGCAAGGGGGGGCAAAGGGGGUGUGCAAAGGGGGGAGUAAGGGAUGUGCAAGGGGUGUGCAAAGGGGUGUGCAAGGGAGGUCAAAGGGGCGUGCAAGGGGUGUGCAAGGGGCGUGCAAAGGGGGGAGCAAGGGGUGUGCAAGGGGUGUGCAAAGGGGGAGCAAGGGGGUGUGCAAGGGGUGUGCAAAGGGGUGUGCAAAGGGGGGAGCAAAGGGGGGAGCAAGGGGUGUGCAAGUGAUGUGCAAGGGGGUGUGCAAGGGGGUGUGCAAAGGGGUGUGCAAGGCGUGUGUAGAGGGGGACAAAGGGGGGAGCAAGGGGUGUGCAAAUGGGUGUGCAAGGGGGUGUGCAAGGGAGGUCAAAGGGGUGUGCAAGGGGCGUGCAAGGGGGGCUGGAGGGUGGGCACCUGUCUCUUAUACACAUCUAGAUGUGUAUAAGAGACAGGUAUUACAGUACUCUGGGGAGGGGUUGGGGGAGAUUUGGGGGGGUCCUGGGGGGUCUGGGGAGGGGUCCUGGGGGCUAUGGGGUGGUUGUGGGGCUGGGGGGCAAUGGGGCUGACCCUGUGGGGUGACCCCACGGGGCGAUGCUGUGGGGCUGAUUCUAUGGGGUGAUGCUGUGGGGUGACCCCAUGGGGUGAUGCUGUGGGGUGACCCCACGGGGCGAUGCUGUGGGGCUGAUUCUAUGGGGUGAUGCUAUGGGGUGACCCCAUGGGGCUGAUUUCUAUGGGGUGGCCCCAUGGGGUGCCGCUAUGGGGUGCUGCUAUGGGGUGACCCCACGGGGCGAUGCUAUGGGGUGAUGCUGUGGGGUUGAUUCUAUGGGGCUGAUUCUAUGGGGCGAUGCUGUGGGGCGGUGCUGUGGGGCGGCCCCACGGGGUGAUGCUGUGGGGCGAUGCUAUGGGGUGGUGCUGUGGGGUUGAUGCUGUGGGGUGGCCCCACGGGGUGAUGCUAUGGGGCUGAUUCUAUGGGGCGAUGCUAUGGGGUUGAUGCUGUGGGGCGGUGCUGUGGGGCGGCCCCCCGGGCUGACCCCCGGCCGCAGUCGGUUUUCCGCACCUUCGACGUGGACGGGGACGGGCGCAUCUCCCGCGAGGAGUUCGGGAUCCUGCGGGAAAACUUCCCCCAGCUGCACCCGCACCACUUCGGGGAGCUCGACACCGACCGGUGCGCGACCCCCGGCCCCAAGACCCCCCCGGGACCCCCAAAUCCCCCCGGGACCCCCCAAAUCCCCCCGGG
rnacentral:lncRNA from 1 species